UUCGCGGAUCGCACGCGGAUUGAACGAACGCGAGAACGGGAAUUGUCGAUACAUAAACACGUCUUCGGAAAGACGUUUCAUUCGCACGCGAUAGUGGCAAUUUUCUUUUUCGCAUUUUCGUUUACCAUAAGUAAAUUAUUUUUGUUUGACACGACGAAUUCGUUUUCUGUAAGGGGGGAA